rnacentral:lncRNA from 1 species
AAGUCUCUUCGCUGCUCUAAUCUCACUCCUCAGAGGUGAUCACUGGACCUGAGUGAGCAGAAGGCUUUUCAGAACAGCCUGAACUAUUUCUUGAGCAGUUUGGGAACUCAUUUCUAAAGCAGUCCUCGGAUUCACACAACAUAGUUUGUGACGGAGUAUGCCCAGAGCAGCUGUCUUGUUGAUGGGGGCGCACCCUGACUAAUGGCGUGUUGGCAAAGGUUUAACAACAGGCUCCAGAGGAGGGCGGACUUGAAGUGGAGCCUUCAGGGGGCAGUGUGAGGGGUGCUGAUUUCAAACAACUCAUCUGGUAUUACUGAACAUGAAGUUGGGAAGAGAUGUGCAUAAUUGAAGUGGGUGAGAGCCAGUCCAGCACCCUGUGGAGAGUGUGGAAGAUGAUCAAAGUAUGACGUUUCUUCUACCCCAGAGGUUGGCAUUUCUGCAGGCACAAAUGAGCUUGGUUUUCAAGCACCAGUCUUUGAGCACAAGGAAUUCCUUUAAUGAUCACGGGCUAGAUAGACUUUGGAAUCAGACUCUUUGAAUUCCAGCUCUGCCAUUUACCAACUUUGACACUUUGGAUAGGGUCUCAUUCUGUCAGCCAGGCUGGAGUGCAGUGGCACUAUUAUAGCUCACUGCAGCCUCAAA